UUGGGGACGGACGUGUUUUAAUCAUUACAGCAUCCAAAGACAACAGUUCUUUUUUCUGCAAGGCUCAAAAUCAUCUUGGAACUGGACGAUCUAACAUCAGUCAAAUAGAUGUUCAAUUUGCCCCACAAAUCCUGCUCUCAUCUGAUUGCAACCAAGCUCCAACCCAGCUCAGCUGUUCCUGCAGGACUGUCGGAAAUCCCUCUCCCACUUUACAGUGGUAUUUGGAUGGGCUACCUGUCAAUCACUCUGACAAGUUCAUAAUAAGCAAUCUAAAUGGCAGUCUGGGGAGCAUCUUUACUGCGAAUCAUCCACAGGAGAACAAUCUUUCCACCUUGCUCUGCCGCAGCUUCAACUCUCUUGGAUCUGCCAGUCAACGUUUUUGUUUCAACAGCCUUCAGCCUCAAACAUCAGCACAAAGUCACGACCAAGUGAUGUUUCCAGCCUUCAUCACCACAGUUGUCACUCUGCUAGUACUAGUAUUUGCUCUGCUGUUUACU